UUUUUUUUUUUUCUUUUUCUUUUUCUUUUUCUUUUUCUUUUUGGCUGCACUCACAGCAUGUGGAAGUUCCUGGGCCAGGGAUCAAAUCUGCACCACAGCAGCAACCUGAGCUGAAGCACUAACAACACCAGAUCCUUAACCUCUUGGGCCACAAGGGAACUUGGGUUUCCCUUACAUGCAGCUCCAACACUCUUACUGAGCACAGUAUCUGCCUGCAUAGGAAGAGGUACAGUGAACUGUCACCACAAUGAAGAGGACAAAAACGGUCUUAAGCUCCUUCACCAUCACCCCUUUCCCUCUCAGUACCCAGUCUCGCUCCUUUCCUUCUGGCCUGGGGAGCAGGCUGCUGGCUGUGUUGGCUUCCCAUGUGCAAGAAGGGGCUGGGGUGAAGGAUAUAGUGACAGACAGGCCAAACACCCAGGGCCCACCAGUUAGCAUGGGAGCUGCAGCAGCCCUGCCAAGGUCCUCAGCCUGCCUACCAAGAGUGAUGUGGAUUGGCUGCCUGGUAGAACGGCCAGACACUGGAGUCCUGGUCUGAAUCCUGUUACUAUAAUCGUGCGACUCCAUUACUUUAUUUUUCUGGGCUUCUGUUUCCUUGCCUAUAAAAGUGGAACCAGAACAGCUCCUGUUUCUCAGAGAAGCUGUAAGGACUAAUUGAGAAAAAAAAAAUUAAUUAUAAACAUAGGAUUCAUUGUAUGCUUGACAUAUUCCAGGCACCAUUUUAACCACUUUACAAACUAUUAGUCCAAUUGACGUCCACAGUAAGUCAAGGAGAUAGGUACUAUUAUUAUUUCACUUUACAGAUGAAGAAACUGAGGCAUAGAAAGGUUAAUAACUUGCCCAGAGUCUCAAAAACUAGUAAGGGGUAGAGCUAGGAUUUGAAUCCAGGUAUUCCAACCUCAGUCUGCAUCCGUAGAGGUUCAGGCAGGAAAGAAACACUGAUGUCAGAGUUUAAGAGAAGGAAAGUGGAAUUCCCGUCAUGGCGCAGUGGUUAACGAAUCCCUAGGAACCAUGAGGUUGCGGGUUCGAUCCCUGCCCUUGCUCAGUGGGUUAAGGAUCCAGCGUUGCCGUGAGCUGUGGUGUAGGUUGCAGACGCGGCUCGGAUCCCACGUUGCUGUGGCUCUGGUGUAGGCUGGUGGCUACAGUUCCGAUUCAACCCCUAGCCUGGGAACCUCCGUAUGCCGCGGGAGCUGCCCAAGAAAUAGCAAAAAAAGAAAGAAAGAAAGAAAAAGAGAAGGAACGUAAUACAGGCACAUGGUUAGAAAGGGGCUCGAAAACUGAGGGAAGAUGAACAACUGUAGAGGACCCAUUUCUCCAGAGAUGAAGGGAUGAAGGGAGGAGUGGGUGUCACUGAAGCCCAAGAAGCGCCUUGGCCAGCUGGUAGGAGCUGGGACACUGCAAGAAGGGGCCAUUCUCUGUAGCCACUGCCAGAAGCUGCAAAAGUGGUAGUGUGGGGGGGUACGUCGCCACUUCUCCCCAGCCUCGGCUCUAAUCCAUCAGUACCUUCCAUUGGCUGAAUUUACUAGGAAGCCAGCGGGCAGGCGAGCCUGGGAAAUGUAACUGAGCCCCCAGAUGUGAGCCCAGCAAGGGAAGGACAGGGAAUGGGGCUGAGAACAAACAGUAAAUGACUUGCAUAUCCACCGUGCCAUACAGCCUCGUCAUCAAAAUGCAGGCACAUAAGGGCAACUGUGCCCAUAAAUGGCAAUUAUGGGGACAAGAAUUUAGGUCUCUGACUCCUGGUUCAGUGAUGUAUCCAGUACAGGAGUAGAAACCAGCAGUUACGGGUGCCCUAUGACACUGAGGAGCAGAGCAGAGCAGGGGGCUAGUGGGGCUCCUGAUGGUGCCUCCUCCUCUUAGUCUUUGCAUAUCUGGAAGCUUCUACAGAUGGCUCUCCACACAUCUGCCAGAAGAAGCAAGCAUUGUUUUUCUCUUUAAAGGGAGUGAGAGCAGCCUGAAUCUUCCCAGCAACUGCUUUUGGAUCUGAGAGAAACAGAUGCAGCUGCUGCUGCAAAUUAGAAGGCAAAUAAAUGGGGUGAGGUGCCCCACACCCUCCUUUUGCAAAGACCAUCAUCUCUGUCUCUGCAGAGUCCCCUCACUCCCCUCAUCCCUGCAGGCCCCAUUGUAUAACCUCAGUGAGUAGCUGGGAAGCAUCUGCCACCUGCUGCCCUGGAAGCAGGCAGGAUCCCACAGAUGACAGCAUGAGCAAGAGCAGAAGGUCCAGGCCAGAGCACAAGAGACAUGGAGUCUGAGCCUGUCCUGCCAGGACAGAGUAGAGAUGGUCAUGGGAGCCCUUCUCUUUGACCAGAAUUCUGCCUCUAGAGAUUUAUCAGAGAUAAAUCUUACUCAAGGGCAUAAAGCUUUCUGGACAAGGCUAUUCCCUGCAGGGUGGGUUACACUUCUCAGAAUACUAGGGGGAAAAUGUAGCCCAUCAGAGAUGAUUUGAUUAAGCAAAUAAUGGUGUCCCUGAACAAUGGAAUGUUCUGUGCACCUACAAGGAAUGAAAUGUCUACAUGAGCUGAAAUGGGCUGAUCUUCAAGACAGACUGUCAAGUGAAACAUUCAAGGGACAGAACUGUGUGUCCAGUGUGCUCACGUCUGGGGGAGGGGCAGGGAAGACAUGUUUUCCUAUAUUUAUACAAGCACCUCUUGCUAUCCAGAUCCAUUUGGUUUCUGGACUCAGAGAGCAGGGAUUCAAAGCAAGAGAUGCCACAUUAUUGGAAACUGGGACUCCUGUAUUUCAUUUCCGGCAGCAAAUGGCAAGAGUCCAACAGUUCAUCUAGAGGCUACCUGAACCCAUUUUGCUACUGAACUCGAACAGUGUUUGGAUAACCAGGGUACACAGUAAGGUUGUCUGUGUAAAUACGAGUGUCAGGCCUGUGUAUGUGUGGGCUCUCUGGGAAGAUAUACAGGGAACUGAUUAGCAGUGGGUGCUGCUAGGGAGGGUAAUUCAGUCCUGAUGGAUGGGGCAGAAGGGAGACUUAUUUUUCAGUUUACCUAUAUAUUGCGAUGGCUUUAACAUAAUGGCCCCCUGGAGUUCCCUGGUGGCCUAGUGGGUUAAGGAUCCAUUCAGGAUUGUCACUGCUAUGGCCCAAGUCACUGCUGUGGUGCAGGUUCAAUCCCUGGCCCAGGAUUGGGUACAGCCAAAAACAAAACAAAACAAAGCAAAAAACACCCACAGCCCCCAAAUUCUUUGAGGGGUGGGGUCUAUGUCUCAUCCUGUUCCAUAUGAGCCGGUUUGUAUCUGCUUAGACUGUGAAGAAUGAUGGAAGUGAUACUGUGUGACUUUCAAGGCUAAGUCAUAAAAGGUCAUCCAGGAGUUCCCGUUGUGGUGCAGCAGAAACAAAUCUGACUAGUAACCAUGAUGUUGCAGAUUCGAUCCUUGGCCUCGCUCAGUGAGUUAAUGAUCUGGCGUUGUCAUGAGCUGUGGUGUAGGUCACAGACGUGGCUCGGAUCAAGCAUUGCUGUGGCUGUGGUGCAGACCAGUGGCUGUAGCUCCCAUUAGACUCCUAGCCUGGGAACCUCCAUAUGCCACAGGUGUGGCCCUAAAAAGCAAAAUAAAUAAAUAAAUAAAUAAAUAAAAAGUGAUGCAGCUACAUCUGGGACACUUUCCUCUCAUUCUCCAGCCACCGCUGGGAGAAGUCCAAGCCACUUGGAGGGGCCCUGUAUGGGCGCUGCGGUCCACAGAACCACCUGACCUCCAGCUCCAGCUAACAUGAGGUCUCUUGGAAGUUCAGCCCCAGUCGAGCAUUCAGAUGACUGCACCCUCAGCUGCCAUGUGACCACAACAACUUCAGAGACCCUAAGUGAGAACCACCCAUGUGAACCAAAUCAGCACAUAGAAGAGACAAUAAAACAUUGCAAGAGACAAUAACACACUGUUAUUUCAAGCCCCUGAGUUUGGGGGUAGUUGUGUGUGUGUGCAUGGGUGUGAAUAUUAACUAGACCACAUUGUGUGUGUGUGUGUGUGUAUUUUUUUCUUGGCUGCUCUUAUGGCAUGUGGAAGUUCCCAGGCCAGGGAUCGAACCCGUGCUGUAGUUGCAGCCUGAGCCACAGCUGCAUCAAUGCUGGAUCCCUAACCCACUGUGCCACAAGGGCACUUCCUAGAACACACAUUAUGAACAUAGAUCACAUAUAUUACCUACUCAAAAUUAGUAAUAUCUUCCUUGUAACCAUACAGGGAUGGUGCUAAAUGUAAAAUGUGCAGUAUCUCAUUUAUUUCUCACAAGUUCACUGUAGUCAUCUCCGUUUCAGAGAUGGGAAAACUGAAGCUCUGAGGGGUUCUUUGGUUACUGCCCAAGAUCACCCCUCACAAAAGGCAGCCCCGGGAUAUGAAACCGGGAGGCCUCUCUGGCCCUGGGCUAGCCCCUGGGAACCUGCUCUCGCUCCCUGCCCCCCGUGGGCCUCACCUUCCCCCAUGAGGAGUAGGGGAACAGGGGAGGAGUGGGAACUCACAGCCCACAGGGGCCUGAUCAGUAACACAGAGGGGAGAAGUGGGCGUGGUGGGCUCAGCCCUGGGAAAGCCUGCUCAGCGUUGCCAGAUUGUUAGAUUUUUAAAUAGAAUCCAGAAAUCAGAUUUUCAUGUGCAAUCCAUUCCUGUUUUAACACUGGCAACUGGAUUUUUUUUUUUUUUUUUUUUUCAUGUGUAGACUGAAAAGCAAAACAAAAACAAGAGCCUGUGGAUUUGCCUCUCUGGACAAGAAGAUCUCCAAGGAGUCUUCGGCGCAGACAUCCUGACUUUCCACAGAGCCUCUCCAGGGAGACAGCGCAAUUCCAAUCUCAAGAGGCUCAAUCUGAGGAAGGAGAGGGAAGGAUGAAGACGAGAGGCCCCAGCUUCUCCCGCAGCUCCCCUCCCCGCAGGGAGGGGGACACAGCGGGUGCCGGGAAGCCGGGCCACAGGGAGCCACAGCAGUGCUGGAGAGCAGCUGAGCCUGCCGUCAAUCAGCCGCCAUGGGCUGCCCCCCUUCCCAGAGCUGUCUGUCCACUCCCUGGGGCUGCUGGAGGCAGGCGGGGCACCAGGGGAGACUGGAUUUCCGCUGCUGCGGGCACCACCCCCGCCCAUACCGGCCCUCUUCUCCACCUCCCUGCUCACCCCACCGCUUUUCCAGUGGGAACCCUGCCCCUGCCUCCUCCCCUGAUCGACCCUCCUUAGCAGAGGGGAUUGAUCUAGUCCUCAGCUGUCUCUUGGGGCCUCUGCCCCCACCCCCCACCCCACAGUGUCUUCCCCACUCCCUCCUCAGCCUGCGGCCUGUUCCAUCUUCACUGACUUGUCUUCCUCUGAGAUCCAGCCAGGCAGAGCACAGCGGCGUGAUUGAUGAGCUAGGGAGCUCUGGCUGGCAGGCCCGUGGGCAGCCAGCCAGAGCCAUGGCUCUCACAAGAUAGCAGAGCUGCCCCUGGGAGAGCCCCCAGCUACCAAGAUUCUCCCUGGGGUCACCCCUCUGCCCAGACUGACAUGGCAGCCACUCUGUCCAGAGCAGAUAACCCCAAGGGCCACUGGGUACCAUACCUGGCACGCAACGGUCCUUCAUUUGAUGAGAGCGCUCUGUUCUCUCUCCAUUCCAAAAACAGAGACCCAAGAAAAUAAAGGCAGUGAACGCCUUAAAGCUGGAAACAUUGUCAUUCAGCCAUGCCACUGAGUCCAGGUGUCUGUAAUUUGUUCAUUCAUUCAUUCCUGCAACAUGAGGGUUUGCUCUGAGGAUCACCACUUCAUUGUAAUUCUAGUUGUGGUCUCGAGGGGCAGACUGGUUUGAAUUCAGGCUCCAUCGCUUCCUGGCUACAUGACCUUGAGCAUGUCACAUCACCUCUCUAGGCUGCAGCUUCUUUCUCGUGGUUACUGCUGUGAGAUUGUCAGAUAACACACGUAAAGUUUUUUGGACAGGGCCUGGCAGAUAAAAGAGAUCCAGAAAUGUUCUCAUUCAACAAGUAACUGAGGGCCUACCACGUGCCAGGUUCAGGGGCUACAGCUCCAGAGCCAGGCAGAUAAGAUCCCUGCUCUCACGUAGCCUGCCUUGGAGAGAGGGAAGACUGACAGAAAACACCUAACUGAGCAGACAAACAGGAAAGAGCAGGAGAGCUAACAGGUCACAGGAUGGUGAGUGGUGGCCAGGAGCCAUGGGGGGUGGGGCGAGGGUAGGCCUGUGGACCCCUCCAAGGAGGUGAUACUGGAGUAGAGUUGGGAUGAGAGCACAGCCAGGUGAAAAUCUGGGGAAAUAGCUUUUUAGGUAGAGGGAAGAGCACAUGGGAAGGUUCUGAGGCAGGCAUAAACAUUGGAAUAUGUAAGAAACCAAAAAAGAAGAGGGAGGGGCCAGCGUGGCUAGAAGAGCAAAACAGAAAGCAUAGGAGAUGUACU
rnacentral:lncRNA from 1 species